rnacentral:rRNA from 1 species
ACCACUUAUUACUGCCAACCCAUCAACAGUAUUGAAUAAUUUCAUAAAUUAUGAAAACUACCAUGCUAGAACUAGUAACAAGAAAAUGAAUUUCUCCAAAGUGUAAACAUAAGCCAAAACGGACAGCCCAUUGGUAAUUAACGACUUUGAACCCAUUAUAGCAAAAUAUCUAUAGAAAACCCUAUACUUAACACCGUUAACCUUACACAAGAACUCUUCUGGAAAGAUUAAAAGGAAGAGAAGGAACUCGGCAAAUUUUAACCCCGCCUGUUUACCAAAAACAUCGCCUCUUGCUUAAUUAUAAGAGGUCCCGCCUGCCCAGUGUUUCAAUCAACGGCCGCGUGAUCUAAACGCGCGAAGGUAGCAUAAUAAUUUGUUCUUUAAAUCAGGACUUGUAUCAAUGGCAUCACGAGGGUUAUACUGUCUCCUCUCCCCAAUCAGUGAAACUAAUCUCCCUGUGAAAAAGCAGGAAUGAGACCAUAAGACGAGAAGACCCCAUGGAGCUUAAAACAAGGCAGCAAUCCAAUAACAAAACCAAAACAAUCUUAAACCCUGUAUGCCAGUUUUAGGGUUGGGGUGACCACGGAGCAAAUAAAGCCUCCACAACGAGAAGGGAUUAUUCCCUUAUCCCAGAGACACGCCUCUAGAUUAUUAAAAUAACGUCUAAUGAUCCGAUCAUCGAC